rnacentral:rRNA from 1 species
UACGUAGGGGGCAAGCGUUAUCCGGAUUUACUGGGUGUAAAGGGAGCGUAGGCGGUGAUGCAAGUCAGAAGUGAAAGCCCGCAGCUCAACUGCGGGACUGCUUUUGAAACUGUAUGACUAGAUUGCAGGAGAGGUAAGUGGAAUUCCUAGUGUAGCGGUGAAAUGCGUAGAUAUUAGGAGGAACACCAGUGGCGAAGGCGGUUUACUGGACUGUAAAUGACGCUGAGGCUCGAAAGCGUGGGGAGCAAACAGG